AGGCCACCACGACCACUGUGACCCCUCUGACCGCUGUGGCCACCCUGGGCACUGGGACCACUGGGGUCACCAUCACUGUCCCCAUGGUCACCAUGGCCAUUGUGGCCACCGUGACCCGUUAGGCCACCGUGGUCACUGAACCUGCUGAGGCCACUAUGGUCACUGUGGUCAUUGAGGUCACCAUGGCCACCGUGGUCACCAAAGUCACCAAGGCCAAUGUGGCCACUAUGGUCAUUGAGGUCACCAUGGCCAUGUGGUCAUCGAGGUCACCAAGGCCAAUGUGGUCACUGUGGUCAUCAAGGUCACCCUGGUCACUGUACCUGCUGAGGUCACCAUGGCCAUGUGGUCAUUGAGGCCACCAUGGCCACUGUGGUCACUGUGGUCAUCAAGGCCCCCAUGGCCAAUGGGGUCAUUGAGGGCGCUGUGGUCACUGUACCUGCUGAGGCCACCAUAGCCAUGUGGUCACUGUGGUCACCAUGACCAAUGUGGUCACCAUGGUCACUUUGGCCACCAUGGCCACUGUGGUUACUGAGGUCAUCAAGACCACCAUGGCCAUGUGGUCACUGUGGUCACUUUGGCCACCAUGGCCAUGUGGUCACUGUGGUCACCAAGGUCACCAUGGCCAUGUGGUCAUCGAGGCCACCAUGGCCAUGUGGUCACUGUGGUCACCAAGGUCACCAUGGCCAUGUGGUCAUCGAGGCCACCAUGGCCACCGUGGUCACUUUGGCCACUGAGGCCCCCGAGAUAAGACCUGGAAUUGUUCCUCUCCUCCAGCGGGGUCAGGAAUUGUUAAUUAUUAAAUCAGAUUUAACCAAAUCCAGGAGUUUUCUUCUCGUUUUCCCCACCCGGCCCCGCCCUGGUGACUCUGAACAAGGGCCUGGAGCACGAGGGGAUGGGAAAUCGGGAAAAAAACGGGAAUUCCUGGAUGGAGAAAAAAAAAUGGGAAUUCCUGGGUCGGGAAAAAAAAUGGGAAUUCCUGGAUGGGGAAAAAAAUGGGAAUUCCUGAAUCGGGAAGGAAUUCCUGCCGGCAGGGGGGACAGGCUGGAAUUCCCAGAGAUUUCCCAGGGAUUUCCCAGAGAUUUCCCAGGAACUUCCUGGGGAUUUCCCAAAGAUUUCCCAGGGAUUUCCCAAAGAUUUUCCAGAGAUUUCCUGGGGAUUUCCCAGGAACUUCACGGGGAUUUCCCAAAGAUUUCCCAGAUAUUUCCCAAAGGUUUCCCAAGCAUUUCCCAAAGAUUUCCCAGAGAUUUCCCCGAGAUUUCCUGGGGAUAUCCCAGAUAUUUCCCGGGGAUUUCCCGGAGAUUUCCCAAGGAUUUCCCAGGGAUUUCCCAGGGAAUCCGUGGCUGCCCCAUCCCGGAGCUCCCUGGCACGGUGAUCAAUGUGAUCCUAAAAAUCCCCAAACCAGCCCAGAAUUCCAUGGGAACAGGAAAUGGAGCAGGAAGAGGAGAAAAAUUAUGUUAAA
rnacentral:lncRNA from 1 species